GGAUAGCUGGAGCUCGGA
rnacentral:snRNA from 1 species